rnacentral:misc_RNA from 1 species
AUACAAGGAGUCUUUUAUAAAAAGCAGUAAUUUGUUUAGAUUAAAAAUAAAGAGUACAUGCAUAUGUAAUAGGAAAACAAACGCACUAUAACGCAAUCAACCGUAUUUGACGUGCAGUGCUAACACAUUUUUUCAUUGGAAAAAAGUGUAGCAAAAAGGCAGGAUUGGAAAAAAAGGCGCCGCAUACAAAUGGAAUUCUACCCCCACCAACAACAACCACAUACUACUCAGCAAGUGGACGACGGUUCUCUAUCCGGCCCGGCAACUAACACAAAUACUAUCAAUAGUAACAACAGCAAUAUCAAUAUUAACAACGUUCGUAGCACAAACAUUACCCCGCCCACCUCAAAUACAAUCAGUUCAGCAGCAGCAGCCGUUUCCGUCGACGCUGCCACUGUUGCUAUCGCCAAGGAUAUGCUCCAAUUGCAUCAUGGCAGUGGUGCGGCACUAACCAAUAACAAUAAUAGUAACAGCAACAAUACUAGCAACAUCAGUAAUAACAACCAUAAUAAUAGCUCUGCCCUGGAGGCCAUGAAUACAACAUCAUCCUCUAACGCCAACACCAAUUCGGUAGGUCCUGCAGCUAGUAGCAGCAGUACAGCCAAUAGUGGUGUCGGCGGAGCGAACGAUGGUUCAAUCAGUGCACCAACAACAUUGAUUACCAAUCACCCACCUGCCAAUGCCUCCGACGGCAACAGCAACACCACCAAUUCGGGUGGUAGCGGCACUGACGUUUCAACGGCACCAGACAAUGCGCUCGGGUUUCUAAAAUACGACCAGGAAUUGCUAUACAUUCUUGAGCCUAUAACUAUUAUCGGACGAAACUCGUCCACAUCACACGUGCACUUUCAUGUCGCCGAGAACAAUUUGGUGUCGCGAAAGCAUUUUCAAGUUCUUUACGAUGGAAAUGCACGUGACUUCUUCGUGCAGUGUCUAAGUAAAAAUGGCAUUUUCGUUGAUGACUUCUUGCAGCGACGCAAUGCUGAUCCGUUGAGAUUGCCUAACAGCUGUUACUUUCGCUUCCCUAGCACCGAGAUACGCAUACAAUUCGAAAGUUUUGUACGCGGUAGCACUUCAAGUGCCGACGCUCUAAAUAGCUCGACCAGCAGUGGCACAUCCGUUCCGUAUCAUAACAACAGCCAUCAAAAUAUAGCUGUCCUACACAAUAGCACUGGAGUUAGUGGUGGUGGAGGUGGCGGCCCUGCUCAAUUUAUUAUUUCGCCUGCGCCACCCGAUGAUCAUCAUCAUCAUCCACAUGCGGUGACUGGUUCUUCAGCGCAUGCGUCAACACAUGGCUCUCAUCAUCAGCAACACCAUGUGUCCUCAAAUGCGGUGUCGUCGUCGACUCACUUGCUACCGCACAUGGAUAAUUCAAAUGUGUACUCGCCACUAAAGAUAUCCAUACCGAAGAAGGAGCAGAAGAGCCCAUAUUUAUCACCAACUGGUACAAUAAGUGCUGCUAAUAGUUGCCCAGCCAGCCCGCGUCAAGGUUUUCAUCAGAACCAAGCCAACUACAAUAAUUAUAGCAACAACAAUUUGCAAAACCAAGAUCUAUUCCAAACACCAUCGACAGCUAGCUACAACCACAAUGAGAAGCCACCAUAUAGCUAUGCUCAGUUGAUUGUACAAGCUAUAUCAGCAGCACCGGAUAAACAAUUGACACUAUCGGGCAUUUAUUCAUUCAUUGUAAAGCAUUAUCCGUACUAUCGUAAGGAAACUAACAAAGGUUGGCAGAACUCUAUUCGCCAUAAUCUCAGCUUGAAUAGGUAUUUCAUUAAAGUGGCACGCUCUCAAGAUGAGCCGGGGAAGGGCAGUUUUUGGCGCAUUGAUCCCGAUAGUGGCGCCAAGUUGAUUGAUCACAGCUACAAGAAACGCCGUCAGCGCAGCAGCCAAGGUUUUCGCCCAUCAUAUGGCAUGCCGCGUUCGGCACCGGUCUCACCGAGUCACAUGGACAAUUCGCGUGAGAGUUCACCUUUACAGGAUUUCGUUUUGCAAUCGGCCCCUGGCUCGCCUGGCAUGUCAAUCGAGCAGCGCGCUGCCGAUGGUGAUCUUAUGUACAACAAUACAACUCAGAAUAUGCACCAUUCGACGGCUAACAAUUCCCACAAUCAAUACAAUAGUAGCGGAAGCCCAUACUAUGUUUCAAAUCAAAAUUCAGCUAUAACCGGUGGACAACAACAUCAACAGCAGCAGCAGUUGCACAAUGAGAGUGGAGCUGGCAAUAUUGGCAAUAGCAGUGGAAAUGGUGUUGGCGCCUUGAUUGCACUCAAACGCAAUCAUGCAAUGGCAGCUGGCGCACAACAGCAGCAGCAGCAACAGCAGCAAGUGCAAACGUUGCAUCCUGACAUCAUAUAUGAGGAAAUGCCCACUGACUACAGUGGAAAUAUGGAAUCGGGCGAUGAAUGUGGCAGUAUUGGUGGUGGUGGUGGCAGUAGCGGUAAUGGUGGUGGCUCUAGUGAUGCUGCCAAACGACCCAAAUACAUUUCCGAAGUACUCUGAUGUGUUGCUGUUGCCGUUUCCGUUUCUUCUAAUGUUUGCAAGUAAAUAAGCAAAUUCAACAUAAAACAAAACAAUGAUAACAUUAACUAUUGACAAACAAUUGCCGCCACAAAAUACCCGUGCGAUCUCAAAUGCAUACUUUACAUAUAUACAUACAUACAUACAUACAUACAAACAUUUAUUUUAAAUGUAAAACCAAUUUGUUAUACACAAUGCCCAAUUCAUGAAUAGGUAAUAAUUUUCAAAUGGUUCCGCCUAUUGCUUUUCGCUCACGGUAUAUUUUAAAAGCACAUGCAAAAAAAAGCAUAUUGAAACCUUUUAUCAAGCUUUUAUUAGUAUUUAAAUAGCUAAUAGCGCAUUUGGUAUUUUUUAAGAAUUUUAUGUUUUGAUCAAAAACCGUCUCACCUUAAUUAAAUUGACUGCAAUUGUUACCUUAGUGUCACCUAAAAAAAUAUUAAUACCUUUCUGAAUUGGGCUAAAAACGUGAAAACACUAAACACAGCAGCGGCACAGCGCAGAGCAAAAGACACUGAAACACAUACAUACAAAAACAGAUAGAUACAAACAUUGCAAAAACUGUUGAUGGCGAAUUGCUUAAUGCGAAUGAAAAAUUAAUAUCACAACAAAACUUGUGGAACAAACAGGAAGACAACAAACAAUGAUAAAUCUUCAUUAUUACACCAUCGGUAUAUUGAAUUUAACAAGCGAAAUAUGUAAACAAAAAAAUGUACUUGUGUACCCUGGACGAAUUCAAUAUGCUUGAUGAUGCUAUAUUAAACUACUUAGUAUGAAAAAAAGGGACAAAACAAGAAAAAAAGAAAACAAAUUAACUACUUAAAAGUUGAAAAAAAGCUAAAUACACACAAAAAAAUCAAAACAAAAAUAAAAAACAAAUUUAAGAAAUUGUAAACAAGCAAGCAUAUGAAAGUAGUACAUUUUAAAUGGUGGAAAUAAUAAUAAUUUAAUAUACAAGUAAUAAUAAAUAUACAAGCUAAAAAUAAAGCAGCAUGUUUGGAAGCAGGAAGCAUGGAAUGGUGGAUACAAAAGCAACAUCAAAAUAGGCAAGGAAAGGCAAAGCGAAACAAAAAAUUAAUAAAUCAUCGUUGUGUGGCAACUGAAAAGGAAGCAAAAGAAUUAAUUACCUAUCUCUACAUACCUACAAUUAUAUCGAACCUAAAUCUAGAAAAACAAAUUACAACUAAUAACAAAAAUUUUAAUUAUAAAGCAAGCAAGCAAACAAACAAAACCCCAACAAACAAAUUUAUGAUAAAGAUAUGUAUAAUGAUGAUUGCACUUUAUUUCUAUUAUAAUAAUAAUAAAGAAAACUCCAUUUCAAUGUUUGGACAAAAUGUGUAUUGAGAAAAAAUACAAAGAAUAUAGAUAA